rnacentral:rRNA from 1 species
GAUGAACGCUAGCUACAGGCUUAACACAUGCAAGUCGAGGGGAAACGACAUCGAAAGCUUGCUUUUGAUGGGCGUCGACCGGCGCACGGGUGAGUAACGCGUAUCCAACCUGCCCAUCACUUGGGAAUAACCUUGCGAAAGUAAGACUAAUACCCAAUGAUAUCCCACGAAGGCAUCGGAAUGGGAUUAAAGAUUUAUCGGUGAUGGAUGGGGAUGCGUCUGAUUAGCUUGUUGGCGGGGUAACGGCCCACCAAGGCAACGAUCAGUAGGGGUUCUGAGAGGAAGGUCCCCCACAUGGGAACUGAGACACGGUCCAAACUCCUACGGGAGGCAGCAGUGAGGAAUAUUGGUCAAUGGGCGAGAGCCUGAACCAGCCAAGUAGCGUGCAGGAAGACGGCCCUAUGGGUUGUAAACUGCUUUUAUAAGGGAAUAAAGUGGGUCACGUGUGACUUUUUGCAUGUACCUUAUGAAUAAGGACCGGCUAAUUCCGUG